GCCUUCGUGGUGUAGUGGUCAGCAUGCUCGACGCGUAACCGAGAGGUCCGUGGUUCGAUUCCCGGUGAAGGCG
rfam:Stegodyphus mimosarum contig65423, whole genome shotgun sequence.